rnacentral:rRNA from 1 species
UACGUAGGGGGCAAGCGUUGUCCGGAAUCAUUGGGCGUAAAGAGCGUGUAGGCGGCUUGGUAAGUCCGCUGUGAAAGUCCAGGGCUCAACCCUGGAAAGCCGGUGGAAACUGUCAAGCUUGAGUCCGGAAGAGGAGUGUGGAAUUCCCGGUGUAGCGGUGAAAUGCGCAGAUAUCGGGAAGAACACCCGUGGCGAAGGCGGCACUCUGGGACGGUACUGACGCUGAGACGCGAAAGCGUGGGAGCGAACAGG